AACUUAGCAGAGAUGCUUUGGUGCCUUCGGGAACGUCUGAGACAGGUGCUGCAUGGCUGUCGUCAGCUCGUGUUGUGAAAUGUUGGGUUAAGUCCCGCAACGAGCGCAACCCUUAUCCUUUGUUGCCAGCGGCUCGGCCGGGAACUCAAAGGAGACUGCCGGUGAUAAACCGGAGGAAGGUGGGGAUGACGUCAAGUCAUCAUGGCCCUUACGGCCAGGGCUACACACGUGCUACAAUGGCGCAUACAAAGAGAAGCGACCUCGCGAGAGCAAGCGGACCUCACAAAGUGCGUCGUAGUCCGGAUUGGAGUCUGCAACUCGACUCCAUGAAGUCGGAAUCGCUAGUAAUCGUAGAUCAGAAUGCUACGGUGAAUACGUUCCCGGGCCUUGUACACACCGCCCGUCACACCAUGGGAGUGGGUUGCAAAAGAAGUAGGUAGCUUAACCUUCGGGAGGGCGCUUACCACUUUGUGAUUCAUGACUGGGGUGAAGUCGUAACAAGGUAAGCGUAGCGAG
rnacentral:rRNA from 1 species